UUCGGAUUGCGGCGACGUGGGCGGUUCGCUGCCCGCGACGUUGUGAGAAGUCCACUGAACCUUAUCAUUUAGAGGAAGGAGAAGGUCGUAACAAGGGUUUCCGUAGGGUGAACCUGCGGAAGGAUCAUUG
rnacentral:rRNA from 1 species